UACAGAGGUCCCAAGCGUUGUUCGGAUUUACUGGGCGUAAAGGGUGCGUAGGCGGUCUGCGUAGUCUGGUGUGAAAUUUUGCGGCUCAACCGCAAAAGUGCAUUGGAAACUGGCAGGCUAGAGAGCUGGAGGGGAAGUUGGAAUUCUCGGUGUAGCAGUGAAAUGCGUAGAUAUCGAGAGGAACACCAGUAGCGAAAGCGAACUUCUGGACAGCAUCUGACGCUGAGGCACGAAAGCUAGGGUAGCAAACAGG
rnacentral:rRNA from 1 species